CUAAUUUUGUCUAGUUGCCUUCUAGCCGUCUGUGGCUGUGUUUCGCCAACGUCUCCUCUUGUUUCAAAGGUGUUUUAGUGGCUUAAGAUUUGCAAAUAUCGUGAGAGAGGACUAUCGUGAAGUUCCUUGAAUCCUCUCGCUAACUCGAGCUAGGUCACUUCGAGAGAGGGAGUCUGGGUGCCUUGGAACUCUUAACAAACGUAUUGCGAUGGACCCAGCGCUACUGAAAGAAAGAGAUGCCUUUAAAAAGAGGGCCAUGGCCACUCCUGUGGUCGAAGCCCGAAAACGCGACCGCGAUUCAUCAGCGGGAAACGCGGCAUCACAGCCAAAGAAAAAAGUCAAACCAUCGAAGCCAAAAGACGCGUACAACUACAAGACCACUUCUGGGGGUUCGCAGUACAAUUUCAGUGUCCUAGCAAAAAUUGUGAAGCACAUGAAGCAAAGGCACUUGGAAGGUGAUACGCACCCUUUGUCGCUCGAAGAGAUCUUGGACGAGACAAACCAGUUGGACCUUGGAGCACGGCAAAAGCACUGGCUGUCAACAGAGGCCUUGCAAAACAACCCUAAGCUUCAAGUGACGAUAGACGGCAAGUACUCAUUCCGGCCAGCGUACAACCUCAAGGACCGCAAAAGUCUUCUGCGGCUCCUAGACAAACACGACCAGCGGGGCCUUGGAGGCGUACUGCUGGAAGAUGUGCAGGAAUCGUUGCCCAAUGUGGAACGCCACCUCAAGGCACUGGGUGACAGCAUCAUCUACGUGGUGCGCCCUAUCGACAAAAAGAAGGUGCUCUUCUACAAUGACAAGUCCCUGCAGUUCAAUGUUGAUGAGGAGUUCCAAAAGCUUUGGAGAAGUGUUGCUGUUGAAGGCAUAGAUGACCAGAAGAUAGAGGAGUACUUGCAGAAACAGGGCAUCACAUCAAUGCAGGACAUGGGUGUCAAGAAAGUGAAUGCUGCCCAGAAGCGGAAGAAGUCGUCAUCGAAGAGGGCAAAGUCGUUCAAGAAGCACAACGACCACAUGGGAGACAUUCUAGAAGAUUACACUGACAAGUAGAUUUUAUACAUGUUAGGAGUGUACAUAUGCCUUGUAAAUUUUCAUGUAACAAUUCUGUGAAGGAGGACUGUAAAACAAUGUACUGUCAUUCAUAAAAAGCAGCUAGUAAAACAAAGGUUGCUGGCGGCUGCUGAGGUGCACCAUGGCAUGCAAAAGUCAAUGAUGUUUGACAUUAAACCUAAAGGUGCUCCCUGCUGAA
rnacentral:misc_RNA from 1 species